AGCACAAGGCCCAGAGUUUAUAUAUCCCAGCACCAAAGUGGUGGGGUUCUGGGUUGUUCCUAUGAACUCAGGAGUUGUAGUUCAUCUUAAUAACACACUCAUCAAAUUCCUUAAGAAAAAAGGAAAAUAACUCGAUGUUGAAGUAUUUGCAACAAAAUACAUUAGACCCCAAGACUUUACAGGUCAUUUGUGAUGUGGAAGUGAAGAACACUGAUUCA